GUAGGGUGCAAGCGUUAAUCGGAAUUACUGGGCGUAAAGCGUGCGCAGGCGGUUUUGUAAGUCUGUCGUGAAAUCCCCGGGCUCAACCUGGGAAUUGCGAUGGAGACUGCAAGGCUAGAAUCUGGCAGAGGGGGGUAGAAUUCCACGUGUAGCAGUGAAAUGCGUAGAGAUGUGGAGGAAUACCAAUGGCGAAGGCAGCCCCCUGGGUUAACACUGACGCUCAUGCACGAAAGCGUGGGGAGCAAACAGGAUUAGAUACCCUGGUAGUCCACGCCCUAAACGAUGUCAACUAGGUGUUGGGGAAGGAGACUUCUUUAGUACCGCAGCUAACGCGUGAAGUUGACCGCCUGGGGAGUACGGUCGCAAGAUUA
rnacentral:rRNA from 1 species